rnacentral:rRNA from 1 species
AUUGAACGCUGGCGGCAGGCCUAACACAUGCAAGUCGAGCGGAGCGGCGGACGGGUGAGUAAUGCCUAGGAAUCUGCCUGGUAGUGGGGGAUAACGUCCGGAAAGGGGAGCUAAUACAGCAUAAUAUCAGAUGAGCCUAGGCCGGAGUAGCUAGUUGGUGGGGUAAAGGCCUACCAAGGCGACGCACCGUAACUGGUCUGAGAGGAUGAUCAGUCACACUGGACCUGAGACACGGUCCAGACUCCUACGGUAGGCAGCAGGGGGGAAUAUUGGACAAUGGUCGAAAGCCUGAUCCAGCCAUGCCGCGUGUGUGAAGAAGGUCUUCGGAUUGUAAAGCACUUUAAGUUGGGAGGCGUUACCAACAGAAUAAGCACCGGCUAACUUCGUGCCAGCAGCCGCGGUAAUUC